ACACGACUACAUUAGAUACCCGUGUAGUCCUAGCCGUAAACGAUACUCGCUAGGUGUCGGCCACGGUGCGACCGUUGUCGGUGCCGUAGGGAAGCCGUGAAGCGAGCCACCUGGGAAGUACGGCCGCAAGGCUAGAAACUUAAAGGAAUUGGCGGGGGAGCACCACAACGGGUGGAGCUUGCGGUUUAAUUGGAUUCAACGCCGGAAAUCUUACCGGGACCGACAGCAACAUGAAGGCCAGGCUGAAGACUUUGCCGGAUUAGCUG
rnacentral:rRNA from 1 species